rnacentral:lncRNA from 1 species
CUCUUUCUAAUGAAUCCUUCAUAUAUCCUAAUGCACAGACCAAGACCAGCAGAAAAGAAAGAAACUUAUCAAAGCAGUUGAGAAAUGCAUGGAAGAAAUGCCAUGGAUAGUUUCUGCGCCCCUAUAUCAUUCCAGGAAGGUUUCUAGUAAGAAACAUAAUGGCAUUAGCUGAUAUCUUUCAGAUGCAUAUUAGAAGAAGAAAACAUGACCUUGAUGGGGUGAGCAAAAAUAAUUGCUGUAAAUGUG